AAACGCUUUUCGGUGGUUGGUUUCAUUUCGGCGACAGAAACACGUGAUAUGAUAAAAGCAGUGUUUUAAUCCUCGGAGUGCAAAUUUGCUCUUUCUUACACUAGGUUUUAUAUUAUUCUACCUCUCUUGAUCCGUUCGGACCAACCACGCUUCCCAGUAGUUCUCAGGGUGAAUGUUUCAUCUAGAUGCAUAAGUCAAUAGUGCUAUCAUCAAGUUUUAGCUACGAGACAAGGUAUUUCAAAAGUGGAGUGUCGCGCCCCAGAGAGAAAUGAGGGGUGUUA